rnacentral:tRNA from 1 species
GCCCCGUUAGCUCAAUGGAUAGAGUACUUGGCUUCGGACCAAGGGGUUAGAGGUUCGAAUCCUCUACGGGGCGCCA